rnacentral:rRNA from 1 species
GACGAACGCUGGCGGCGUGCUUAACACAUGCAAGUCGAACGGAAAGGCCCUUCUUUUGUGGGGUGCUCGAGUGGCGAACGGGUGAUUAACACGUGAGUAACCUGCCCUUGACUUUGGGAUAACUUCAGGAAACUGGGGCUAAUACCGGAUAGGAGCUCCUGCUGCAUGUUGGGGGUUGGAAAGUUUCGGCGGUUGGGGAUGGACUCGCGGCUUAUCAGCUUGUUGGUGGGGUAGUGGCUUACCAAGGCUUUGACGGGUAGCCGGCCUGAGAGGGUGACCGGCCAAAUUGGGACUGAGAUACGGCCCAGACUCCUACGGGAGGCAGCAGUGGGGAAUAUUGCACAAUGGGCGGAAGCCUGAUGCAGCAACGCCGCGUGCGGGAUGACGGCCUUCGGGUUGUAAACCGCUUUCGCCUGUGACGAAGCGUGAGUGACGGUAAUGGGUAAAGAAGCACCGGCUAACUACGUG